rnacentral:rRNA from 1 species
UACGUAGGGGGCAAGCGUUGUCCGGAUUUAUUGGGCGUAAAGCGCUCGCAGGCGGCUUGCUACGUCGUGCGUGAAACACCCGGCUCAACUGGGGAGGGUCGUGCGAUACGGGCAGGCUGGAGGCCAGUAGGGGGAUGCGGAAUUCCGGGUGAUGAGGUGUGGAAUGCGUAGAGAUCGGAGGAACACCAGCGGCGAAGGCGGCAUCCUGGACUGGUACUGACGCUGAGACGCGAAAGCGUGGGGAGCAAACAGG